CAGCCACCACUCCGAGCAGAGAUUCUCCAACCGAGAUUGAGUCUCCAUCAGACACUAUUUCUGAUGCCCCGCCUUCUUCCUCGGUAAAAUAUCAUUUCUCUACUCAUCUUAAUCAUAAUUUUUUUCCUUUGCUGAUCAUUUUUGUUUAUUUCUAUUUUCAGUCGAUUCCUGCUUCUCCAUCGGUCUCAGCUUCAGACAAAAGACCGAUC
rnacentral:lncRNA from 1 species